UGGGGAAUAUUGGACAAUGGAGGAAACUCUGAUCCAGCAAUUCUGUGUGUGUGAAGAAGGUUUUAGGACUGUAAAACACUUUUAGUAGGGAAGAAAAAAAUGACGGUACCUACAGAAGAAGCAACGGCUAAAUACGUGCCAGCAGCCGCGGUAAUACGUAUGUUGCGAGCGUUAUCCGGAAUUAUUGGGCUUAAAGGGCAUCUAGGCGGUAAGACAAGUUGAAGGUGAAAACCUGUGGCUCAACCAUAGGCUUGCCUACAAAACUGUUGAACUAGAGUACUGGAAAGGUGGGUGGAACUACACGAGUAGAGGUGGAAUUCGUAGAUAUGUGUAGGAAUGCCGAUGAUGAAGAUAACUCACUGGACAGAAACUGACGCUGAAGUGCGAAAGCUAGGGGAGCAAACAGG
rnacentral:rRNA from 1 species